rnacentral:rRNA from 1 species
AAUCAACGCUGGCGGCGUGCCUCAGACAUGCAAGUCGAACGCGAAAGUCCCCUUCGGGGGACAAGUAGAGUGGCGCACGGGUGAGUAACACGUAGGUAAUCUACCUUUGGAUGGGGAAUAACAACCGGAAACGGUUGCUAAUACCGCAUAAUGCAGCGGCACCUAAUGGUGACAGUUGUUAAAGCGGGGGAUCGAAAGACCUCGCGUCUGAAGAGGAGCCUGCGGCGGAUUAGCUAGNGGUAAGGUAAUGGCUUACCAAGGCUACGAUCCGUAACCGGCCUGAGAGGGCGGUCGGUCACACUGACACUGACAUACGGGUCAGACUCCUACGGGAGGCAGCAGUCGGGAAUUUUGGGCAAUGGGCGAAAGCCUGACCCAGCAACGCCGCGUGAAGGAUGAAAUCCCUCGGGAUGUAAACUUCGCAAGAACGGGAAGAAUAAGCGAGAGUUAAUAUCUUUCGUGAUGACGGUACCGUUUGUAAGCUCCGGCUAACUCCGUGCCAGCAGCCGCCG